rnacentral:lncRNA from 1 species
CAAAAACAUAAGAAUUAUACAUAUCAAGGGGUUCCAUGUGAAGUUUUGAUACAUGUGUACAUUAUAUACUGUUCAAAGCAGUUUGAACAUAUAUCUCUGUAAAUUUCAAAAUCCUUUUUUAAAAAUUUUUAUUAGAGCAUUAUAGUUAUUCAUGGUAGCUGGAUCAUCCCAACACAAUCACACAUGCAUGGAAUCUGACCCACUCCUUUUCGGUUCCCUUUCUUCCCCCCACUCUUCACCCAAGUCCUCCUCCAGUGAACCUGCCCAAACUCAUCUAUUUAUCCAUUCUUGAUUGAUGCUUUCCACACACACACAUUAAGAUGAAGCUCCUUGUGGUAUAUUUACAUAUGCACAUAACAUCAUUUUGUUAAUGAUGAUGCAUUUCCUACCUUGUCUGUCCUUCCCCCUCCCUAUCUCCUUCUACUCCACUGAUCUUCCUGUAUAGUUAUGAUAUCUGAUUCUCCCCGAUACCUUCUUUCCCUUAUUUCUCUGUAGCUUCCAAAUACAAGAGGAAACAAAUAUUUGACCCUUGAGUCUGGCUUAAUUCACUUAGCAGGAUAUUCUUCACUUUCAUGCAUUUACUGGAAAAUACCAUAAUUUCAUUAUUCUUUAUGGCUGGGUAAAACUUCAUUGUGUCUAUAUACCACAUUUUCUUGAUUC